GGGAGCCUCAGUGUUCAGUGGGAACACUGCCGGGCCAACAGUCCGUCUUUUAGACUUAGAGCUUGUAGUCUCAAGUAGUCGAAAAAUAUUCUCUGUCAAGAGCGGAAAGUAGUCUUGUAGAUGCAGAUGUAGAUCUCAAUGAAAAAUAAACAAAAGAUGCUUACAGAACCAGUAGUUGAAUCUCCAAAGACAGUUGAGAAAUUUGCAUAUAGAUUUUACCAAGUUUAAACUCCUAUUCAACAGCACGCUGGAGGUCCUUACCAAGCAAAUUCGAGAUGCUGAUGAGAGG